UCCGUAGGCGGGCAAUUAAGUCAGAGGUGAAAUCCCACAGCUUAACUGUGGAACUGCCUUUGAUACUGGUUGUCUUGAGUUAUAGUGAAGUAGAUAGAAUAUGUAGUGUAGCGGUGAAAUGCUUAUAUAUUACAUAGAAUACCGAUUGCGAAGGCAGUCUACUAACUAUAUACUGACGCUAAUGGACGAAAGCGUGGGGAGCGAACAGGAUUAGAUACCCUGGUAGUCC
rnacentral:rRNA from 1 species